rnacentral:rRNA from 1 species
UACAGAGGUCCCAAGCGUUGUUCGGAUUCACUGGGCGUAAAGGGUGCGUAGGUGGUUGGGCAAGUCUGAUGUGAAAUCUCCGGGCUUAACCCGGAAAUGGCAUUGGAAACUGCCUGGCUAGAGUGUUGGAGGGGGGACUGGAAUUCUCGGUGUAGCAGUGAAAUGCGUAGAUAUCGAGAGGAACACCGGUGGCGAAGGCGAGUCCCUGGAAAACACCUGACACUGAGGCACGAAAGCUAGGGGAGCAAACAGG